rnacentral:rRNA from 1 species
UACGUAGGGGGCAAGCGUUGUCCGGAAUUAUUGGGCGUAAAGCGCGUGUAGGCGGCCAGAUAAGUCCGCUGUGAAAUCUCGAGGCUCAACUUCGAGCUGUCGGUGGAAACUGUCUGGCUAGAGUCCGGAAGAGGAGAAUGGAAUUCCUGGUGUAGCGGUGAAAUGCGCAGAUAUCAGGAAGAACACCCGUGGCGAAGGCGGCUCUCUGGGACGGUACUGACGCUGAGACGCGAAAGCGUGGGGAGCGAACAGG